rnacentral:rRNA from 1 species
GAUGAACGCUGGCGGCGUGCCUAAUACAUGCAAGUCGAACGAGUUCUUCGGAACUAGUGGCGGACGGGUGAGUAACACGUUGGUACCUACCCCGAAGUGGGGAAUAACUGGCCGAAAGGUCGGCUAAUACCGCAUAAUACCGUAAGGUUAAAGCAGUAAUGCGCUUCGGGAGGGGCCUGCGUCUGAUUAGCUAGUUGGUAGUGUAAUGGACUACCAAGGCGACGAUCAGUAGCUGGAUCGAGAGGUUGACCAGCCACACUGGGACUGAGAUACGGCCCAGACUCCUACGGGAGGCAGCAGUAAGGAAUCUUCCACAAUGGACGAAAGUCUGAUGGAGCAACGCCGCGUGCAGGAUGACGGCCUUCGGGUUGUAAACUGCUUUUAUAUGGGAAGAUUAUGACGGUACCAUAUGAAUAAGGACCGGCUAACUACGUGCCAGCCGCCGCCGUAA